UACGAAGGGGGCGAGCGUUGUUCGGAUUCAUUGGGCGUAAAGGGUGCGUAGGCGGCGCGGUAAGUCGGGUGUGAAAUCUCGGGGCUUAACUCCGAAACUGCAUUCGAUACUGCCGUGCUUGAGGACUGGAGAGGAGACUGGAAUUUACGGUGUAGCGGUGAAAUGCGUAGAUAUCGUAAGGAAGACCAGUGGCGAAGGCGGGUCUCUGGACAGUUCCUGACGCUGAGGCACGAAGGCCAGGGGAGCAAACGGG
rnacentral:rRNA from 1 species